CCUACGGGGGGCUGCAGUGGGGAAUAUUGGACAAUGGGGGGAACCCUGAUCCAGCCAUGCCGCGUGUGUGAAGAAGGCCCUCGGGUUGUAAAGCACUUUCAGUGAGGAAGAACGCCUGGUGGUUAAUACCCAUCAGGAAAGACAUCACUCACAGAAGAAGCACCGGCUAACUCCGUGCCAGCAGCCGCGGUAAUACGGAGGGUGCGAGCGUUAAUCGGAAUUACUGGGCGUAAAGCGCGCGUAGGUGGCUUGAUAAGCCGGUUGUGAAAGCCCCGGGCUCAACCUGGGAACGGCAUCCGGAACUGUCAAGCUAGAGUGCAGGAGAGGAAGGUAGAAUUCCAGGUGUAGCGGUGAAAUGCGUAGAGAUCGGGAGGAAUACCAGUGGCGAAGGCGGCCUUCUGGACUGACACUGACACUGAGGUGCGAAAGCGUGGGUAGCAAACAGGAUUAGAUACCCUGGUAGUC
rnacentral:rRNA from 1 species